rnacentral:rRNA from 1 species
UGACUGACCGAUAGUGAACCAGUACCGUGAGGGAAAGGCGAAAAGAACCCCGGCGAGGGGAGUGAAAAAGAACCUGAAACCGUGUACGUACAAGCAGUGGGAGCACCUUCGGGUGUGACUGCGUACCUUUUGUAUAAUGGGUCAGCGACUUAUAUUCUGUAGCAAGGUUAACCGUAUAGGGGAGCCGCAGGGAAACCGAGUCUUAACUGGGCGUUAAGUUGCAGGGUAUAGACCCGAAACCCGGUGAUCUAGCCAUGGGCAGGUUGAAGGUUGGGUAACACUAACUGGAGGACCGAACCGACUAAUGUUGAAAAAUUAGCGGAUGACUUGUGGCUGGGGGUGAAAGGCCAAUCAAACCGGGAGAUAGCUGGUUCUCCCCGAAAGCUAUUUAGGUAGCGCCUCGUGAACUCAUCUUCGGGGGUAGAGCACUGUUUCGGCUAGGGGGUCAUCCCGACUUACCAACCCGAUGCAAACUACGAAUACCGAAGAAUGUUAUCACGGGAGACACACGGCGGGUGCUAACGUCCGUCGUGAAGAGGGAAACAACCCAGACCGCCAGCUAAGGUCCCAAAGUCAUGGUUAAGUGGGAAACGAUGUGGGAAGGCACAGACAGCCAGGAUGUUGGCUUAGAAGCAGCCAUCAUUUAAAGAAAGCGUAAUAGCUCACUGGUCGAGUCGGCCUGCGCGGAAGAUGUAACGGGGCUAAACCAUGCACCGAAGCUGCGGCAGCGACACUAUGUGUUGUUGGGUAGGGGAGCG